rnacentral:rRNA from 1 species
GUGAGGAAUAUUGGACAAUGGAGGCAACUCUGAUCCAGCCAUGCCGCGUGCAGGAAGACUGCCCUAUGGGUUGUAAACUGCUUUUAUACAGGAAGAAACACUCCCUCGAGCAGGGAGCUUGACGGUACUGUAAGAAUAAGGAUCGGCUAACUCCGUGCCAGCAGCCGCGGUAAUACGGAGGAUCCAAGCGUUAUCCGGAAUCAUUGGGUUUAAAGGGUCCGUAGGCGGGCAAUUAAGUCAGGGGUGAAAGUUUGCGGCUCAACCGUAAAAUUGCCUUUGAAACUGGUUGUCUUGAAUUACUGUGAAGUGGUUAGAAUAUGUAGUGUAGCGGUGAAAUGCAUAGAUAUUACAUAGAAUACCAAUUGCGAAGGCAGAUCACUAACAGUAUAUUGACGCUGAUGGACGAAAGCGUGGGGAGCGAACAGG